AUUGAACGCUGGCGGCAUGCUUUACACAUGCAAGUCGAACGGUAACAGGCCGCAAGGUGCUGACGAGUGGCGAACGGGUGAGUAAUGCAUCGGAACGUGCCCAGUCGUGGGGGAUAACGCAGCGAAAGCUGUGCUAAUACCGCAUACGAUCUAUGGAUGAAAGCGGGGGACCGUAAGGCCUCGCGCGAUUGGAGCGGCCGAUGUCAGAGUAGGUAGUUGGUGGGGUAAAGGCCUACCAAGCCAACGAUCUGUAGCUGGUCUGAGAGGACGACCAGCCACACUGGGACUGAGACACGGCCCAGACUCCUACGGGAGGCAGCAGUGGGGAAUUUUGGACAAUGGGCGCAAGCCUGAUCCAGCAAUGCCGCGUGCAGGAAGAAGGCCUUCGGGUUGUAAACUGCUUUUGUACGGAGCGAAAAGGCUCUCUCUAAUACAGGGGGCUCAUGACGGUACCGUAAGAAUAAGCACCGGCUAACUACGUGCCAGCCGCCGCAGUAAAAC
rnacentral:rRNA from 1 species